rnacentral:rRNA from 1 species
AUUGAACGCUGGCGGCAUGCUUUACACAUGCAAGUCGAACGAUGAAGCCCGGCUUGCUGGGUGGAUUAGUGGCGAACGGGUGAGUAACCCGUGAGCAACCUGCCCUGGACUCUGGGAUAACCCCGAGAAAUCGGAGCUAAUACCGGAUAGGACCUUUCCCCGCAUGGGGUUUGGCGGAAAGUUGUCCGGUUUGGGAUGGACUCGCGGCUUAUGAGCUUGUUGGUGAGGUAAUGGCUGACCGAGGCGUCGACGGGUAGCCGGCCUGAGCGGGUGACCGGCGACAAUGGGACUGAGACACGGCGCAGACUCCUACGGGAGGCAGCAGUGGUGAAUAUUGCACAAUGGGCGCAAGCCUGAUGCAGCAACGCCGCGUGCGGGAUGACGGCCUUCGGGUUGUAAACCGCUUUUAGUAAGGAAGAAGGGGCUUCGGCCUUGACGGUACUUGCAGAAAGAGGACCGGCUAACUACGUGCCAGCCGCCGCGGUAACAC